AGCCGUAUAGCUCAGCGGUAGAGCGCCGUCUUGAUAAGGCGGAAGUCGCUGGUUCGAGACCAGCUACGGCUACCA
rnacentral:tRNA from 1 species